rnacentral:tRNA from 1 species
GACUCCAUAGCUCAACUGGAUAGAGCACCGUCCUUCUAAGACGGGGGUUGCAGGUUCGAUUCCUGCUGGAGUCACCA